CAAAAUUAUACGUAAAAAUUUCGUAGUUAUCAUUUUCUUUUUUUAAAUAAUAUUAAAAUUAUAAAAUGGAUUACACUUGGGCGGUUACAUUGCUGUUGGGUUGCGUAUUGGGCUUUGUAGUCGGUCUCCAUUCGUAAACCGCAAAGAGAACAUGCUUUGAGACGUCACGUUCCAAGCAACCCCAAGGAAUCAGAUCAGUAUAAAGUAGUGUUCCGUAAUUCAAGUAGAUAGGGGUAUAUAAACAGAAAAGAAAAUGAAGUUGGAUUGGCUAGUCACUCUGCUGGUGGGCUGCAUUCUUGGUUAUUUAAUUGGCGUUCAAUGUUGAGCUUCCAGCAAGUCGAGAAACUAGAUGAAAAAUUGACAUGAGUUAAGAAAUUUCUCAGAGGGGAGACGACGUUGCUCAUAACCACAUUAUCUAGUGUAAGGACAUUUUUUCUCCCCAAGGAAUCAGAUCAGUAUAAAGUAGUGUUCCGUGAGUAAUUCAAGUAGAUAGGGGUAUAUAAACAGAAAAGAAAAUGGAGUUGGAUUGGCUAGUCACUCUGCUGGUGGGCUGCAUUCUUGGUUAUUUAAUUGGCGUUCAUUGUUGAGCUUCCAGCAAGUCGAGAAAAUAUAUGCAAAAUUGACAUGAGUUAAGAAAUUUCUCAGAGGGGAGACGACGUUGCUCAUAACCACAUUAUCUAGUGUAAGGACAUUUUUUUCUCCACUAGAUCUUCAUGAUGAGUCACAUUAUAUCAUAUGGCCUGGGUUUAAUAACGGGCUUGAUGCUGUGCAAACGUUGUGGUCCACCCUAACCAGGUUACAAAAUUACCGAUUGAAGAAACUAAAUCAUUUCCUAUCAAGACAUAUAAAUCAAAUAUGUACAAACUAGAUAAAGUGCAAUAAUAUUAGAAAUAUGUAGUAUAUAAGCAAUAAAUAAUGAUCAAAUAUUGA
rnacentral:sRNA from 1 species